rnacentral:tRNA from 1 species
GGGCGCGUAGCUCAGUGGGGGAGCGCCUGACUCACAUUCAGGAGGUCGCUGGUUCGAAACCAGCCGUGCCCACCA